AUCCGUUUCUCUCCAUCAGGUCAGGUUUUCUGUAAACUGAAUGGUGGGCAUUGAUAAAGGUAAGUACGCAUAAAUUGCAUGUUGCUUCACAAUUUUUCAAACUUCAGGGCUUGAACUUCUGUUUCUUGGAACUCCUGGAAUGCUCAGCGGCAUGAAGGUCUCUCUUCAGAGUCCAACAGUAGUCAGCCAUCAUGACUGCGUCCCAGCGACCCUGAUACCUGGUCUCCAUCUCUUUCAUGUCCUGAUGGAAUCUCUCCCCCUGCUUGUCACUCAUUGAACCCAGGUUCUCAGGAAACCGGUCCAUAUGUGAAAAUAGGUAGUGCAUCUUGAUGCUCAUGUUGCAGCCCAGGUUUCUGAAAGCAGUCAGCAUGUUGUUGACAAGUUCUGCGUAGUUUCUGGCCUUAUUGUUGCCAAGAAAGUUCUUCACUACCAGAACAAAUGCCUUCCACGCUUCCAGUUCCACUUCGUUCAUUGAGUUUCCGAACUCUGGAUCUCUGAUGAGCUGAUGGAUCUGAGGACCGUCAAAGAUGCCAGCUUUCAACUUCUCCAUGGUCAAUCCUGGAAAAGCCUGGCACAAGUAA